GCUUACGGCCACACCGGCCUGAGUACGCCUGAUCUCGUCCGAUUUCGGAAGCUAAGCAGGGUCGGGCCUGGUUAGUACUUGGAUGGGAGACCGCCUGGGAAUACCAGGUGCUGUAAGCU
ensembl:rRNA 5S_rRNA 5S ribosomal RNA